AGAUACGUAAGUGGAAGCAUACCUGCUGUUAACUAAGUGGAAAAAGAGAGGAAAAGGGCCUCAGAUUCUGGAUUCCAAAAAACUGCACUGGAGAAGCUUGUUUUGGAAAGCUGAAAAUAUUAUUGUACACACUGCUUCGGAGGCCCAUGGUGUACCAUAUAUACAAGAGAAGGUGCUACAGGGUUAUUGCAAAGGAAAGAGACAUGAUGUAAGUGACCACUGGAGAUGGC
rnacentral:lncRNA from 1 species